UACGGGGGGAGCAAGCGUUGUUCGGAUUUACUGGGCGUAAAGGGCGCGUAGGCGGCCACCGCAAGUCAGUCGUGAAAUCUCUGGGCUUAACCCAGAAAGGUCAACUGAUACUGCGGGGCUAGAGUGCAGAAGGGGCAACUGGAAUUCUCGGUGUAGCGGUGAAAUGCGUAGAUAUCGGGAGGAACACCAGUGGCGAAGGCGACUUCCUGGCCUGUUCUUGACGCUGAGGCGCGAAAGCUAGGGUAGCAAACGGG
rnacentral:rRNA from 1 species